AAUGGCUAUAUAGUAGCCUUUCCCCAUAGCAGGGUUACUCCCCUGAGGUUUUAGAAAACAGAUUAUGGAAGGUCAGUCGGGCUUUGUACAACACAUAUUGAUAUUGCAUAGAUAUGUGUAUCGAAAAGUGUAUGUUGCCGAUAGUUUGAAUGUAAAUGCACGUGUUUUUAUAUAGGUAACCUGAGCCCAUGCAUGGACCUGUCUGAAAGGCUCUUAUUUGCAUAAUCCCCCCAAAGCCUUUACGAUUGAAAUAUUUGACAGACUGCAUUAUAACCCCUUUUAAAAAAGCAUUCAGUGUUCAAGUAUGAUGUGUAAAACGUUGCAAUAUUAUACAAAUGUUGAUUUAUAUUCGAUAGCCUUGAUAUUUAUAUGCGAACAUUUUGAUGAAUAUUCGUUAAUCUUGAUAGUUUUAUUCGAUCUAUUUUGAUUUAUAAGUGUUUCACUAAAGUAGAAUGAUAUUGAUGGCUAAUUGAGAAUGUAAAUAUAAGGAAGUUUUUUUUUUUUUCAUUUUCCAAGCAAAAUUGAUGAGCCAUUUCAUUUAUUUCCAUGAGCGACAAAUUCUCAUGAAGCAGGAUAUGAUACUUCAUUGUAUACUCAAAACCAGAAACAAGGAAAACACAAAACACAGAUGCCAUCGAUAUUCCAGGAAGACUAAAUAAUUUUCAUGUUCGAAUUUUGUUUUAUAUAAUAUGUAUAUAAAGUACCUUUGGAAGAAUUGAAUGUAUCUUAGGUUUACUUUUGAAUAUAUUGGUCUUUAAGGCUUUAAGAAUAUACAACAGUUUUAUAAAAACAUAUCGGGGGUUUUGCUUGUUCCAAAUGUAUGAUAAACCACAAGAAUUAAGGAUAUUUUGAAUACAAGAAAUCAAAGUAUUACUUGUCUCCCCAUGGUACAGCCUUCUCACAAAUAUCUAUAUAAUUUUACACAUUUUGUUUUCGUUAAUUAAUAGAAGUUUUGCCCAAUAAGACAACAUUGUUGUGUAAAAAUUUAUAUGCAAAGGGAAACGUCCAUUUAUCAUAUGUUAUGAGUGCAACUUUUGAAGUUUAGAAUGUGAUUUGAUUUAAAAAAAAAAAAAAAAAAAAACGUAACUAGACACGUUCAAUAAUACAAUAUAGAAAGAAUAUUUUUUUCUGAAUCCUUUGUGGUGUUAGAUAAUCCAGUAACUUGUCUCACGGGAAUCUGUCUAGAAUUAUUUUUGUACAAGGAAAACAAAAACGAUAAUUAAUACAUGUUUAUCCUGCCUCUCCCCGAUAUUACAUUUGAAAAAAGCAGAUGGCCUGUCAAUAAUAUAAAUUUUUACCUUUAUACAAUUUGUACAUGUUUUUAAUAAAUAUAUUUUUGUAAAAUCUAAUAAAGAGUUCUUCCUAGGCAACUUAUUAAUAUGUUAUUGGGCGGAGAUUUUCUGCCCUGAGUAGGAUUUCCUUUAUAAAUAUGCGCCGAAGAGUUGUGACAGUGUCUAUCCCACUAUCAAACAUAUGUUGCACAAUUCUUUGACUUAUCAUUCACAACAGGGACUUCAAUAUUCCUGCAAAUGCUGCAACUCAUUUGUGUCACUUGCAUGCUCUAUUGCUAUGCCUCUGGACAAGGUGGACGAUGUGACGGUUAAUGAUGACAUCGAUAAGCCGUCAUACAAUGUACAUGAUAAAACGCAGACAAGGAAAGCUCCAUACAUUGAUUCCCACUUACAAGCAUGAUCCUGAUGAUGAGGUUGAGACAAAUAUUUAUCGUCACUUAUUUUCAUUUCGUUUCUGGACAAUACGGCCGGUGCGAAGGACCUCUGGUGUGUUGUAGAGGAUUUGAGUACAAUGAAAAGGAGGACACUUGUCAUCCUUGUAGGGAGCCGAAAUAUGGUGCUGGAUGUAUGGAAAUCUGUAAUUGUUCUGAAGAGGAAAUAUGUGACAGAUUCAAGGGCUGUGUUAAUAGGACAAUCACAACAAGUACAAUGACUGUCAACACCAAAAGCAAGGAAACAACUGUUUUCACAUCGAAGAUGUUCACUAAAACUUUCUCUACAUUACCUCCUUGCAUACCAAGCUUUACUGAAGAGAAGAGGGGUUCAGGUAAAUUUCAAAAUAACAUAGAUAAGAAUGGUACUGUUGGAAAUGGCUAAAUAUGCAUCAAAAUCUCCAUUCAAUUUCAACAGCAUACUCAGUAUAUCCGCCAAGAAAUAUAGCACCAAAAUUUUAAACUAAUUUGUCUAAGGGAAACAAUCCGCUAAACAUUCUGAUCGGGAAAAUUACCCCAAUAUGCAAUACAUGUACUAUCGAAAAUAUAGAGUGGAGUGCAUCAUUGAACAUAUAGUCACUUUAUCAUAUAAAUCUCAAACAGGAGUAAAUAAUAUAGUGAUUAUCACUGAUAUAUGAUACAUGGUGAUCGGCAUAACAAUGUCGUAUUUACCGUCUAUCUACGGUCGCGACUACGUUCACAUCUCUUGAUUUCUUCAUGUUCAAACUUUGUUUGAAUAUCGGUAUCACUUGUUAUGUAUUGAUUGUGUUUGUCCUUAUUGUAUGAAUUGGGACACCAACGUUUUUUUCAAUAGGUUAUUGCUGUAUCGUCUAAGUAAGGAAAAUUACAUAAAAACACGCGCAGGAAAUAGAACUAUUUCUGAAUGCCAUGCACGAUCUAAUAUUUUGAAUCCUUCCAGUUUCAAUGGAGGAAAUUCGGAUACCAGACUUAUUUAUUUUUCAUAAAUGUUGAGGAUAAUUAUUUUGAAAAUACAUUUUACUUCAAUGAACUGAAUUGUUGUUUCGUAUUUUCAAAAAAAAAAAAAAAAAAAAAAAAAAAAAAAUGUGUAUUGAUGCUAAAAAAUAGAAUACUUCCCUUUUGAAAAUCCGUUCUAUUUCUUGGAAAUUUGACAUAGUUCUCUUUAAUUUAAUGAUCUGCCAUCAGAUUUGCGUCAUUUUGAUGGUGCAUUAUUUUGCUUUUUUUUGGUUGCGAGACAAAUAUUUUAACAAGCAAUAUAGCAUUCUAAUAAUUCAUUAUGACGCCAAGCAUUAUCAGGGAAGUAUAUGGUGUAAAAACCUCAAGAAGAACCAUGGCAGUUUGACGUACAUGUAUUCUGAAUCUAACUAGACCAUAACUACUGUUAAACAAAUUUUGGUCGCGUGAUUCGCCAUCUUCCCAGUCAAGAGUUUGUGAUUCAUCACAUUUCUCACAAACCCGUAACGGAUUACAUUUCAUAAAGGGUGGUCAAUAAUUUUAUAAUCUAGCGUUAAAUCUGUAUUUGACCUCAACCCAAUCCGAGUUCAUGUUUGUAUAUAGAGUGUGCCAGCGGAUCUAACGUCUUGAAACAUACGCACUUGGAGAGACUAUCAGAAUUUCUAAGCGUAUGCCCAAGGACUUCAACAUGUGCCCGGAAACUGUGUCUAUUUGACUUAAACACCAGUACACUACAUGUUUAUAUUAUCCUGUCAGUACACUCCCUACACUACAUGUUUAUAUUAUCCUGUCAGUACACACCCUACACUACAUGUUUAUAUUAUCCUGUGUCUAUUUGACUUAAACAUCAGUACACACCCUACACUACAUGUAUAUAUUAUCCUGUCAGUACACACCCUACACUACAUGUAUAUAUUAUCCUGUCAGUACACACCCUACACUACAUGUUUAUAAUAUCCUGUCAGUACACACCCUACACUACAUGUUUAUAAUAUCCUGUCAGUACACACCCUACACUACAUGUUUAUAUUAUCCUGUCAGUACACACCCUACACUACAUGUAUAUAUUAUCCUGUCAGUACACACCCUACACUACAUGUUUAUAUUAUCCUGUCAGUACACACCCUACACUACAUGUAUAUAUUAUCCUGUCAGUACACACCCUACACUACAUGUUUAUAAUAUCCUGUCAGUACACACUCUACACUACAUGUUUAUAUUAUCCUGUCAGUACACACCCUACACUACAUGUUUAUAUUAUCCUGUCAGUACACACCCUACACUACAUGUUUAUAUUAUCCUGUCAGUACACACCCUACACUACAUGUUUAUAUUAUCCUGUUUAUAGUAAGUUCAUAUCAUAUUUGUUGGCAACGUUGGAACACUUUUGUCGCCAUUAUCUGUUUAUGGUGAAUAAGACGAUGGAUUACACAGGAUCAUGCAAUCUCUCGUGGCACCGUUCAGAGUUCAGAUAUUUAGCUCCGGAAUUUUCAACGUGCAUGUAAUCUGUCAAGGGUCUCAACUUAUUUAAAGUGUUUUCAUAACAUAAAAUACUCAAUCUGAUUAAAAUCAGAUCCUCUUCGAUCCACUCCUCUUUUUUUCUUUCUUGUCGCUACACGAAAUAGCGACCAAAAAAAAAAAAUGAGGAGCGGAUCGAGGAUCUGAUUUUAAUCAGAUUGAUAAAAUACUACAAUUUGUUUGGCCGAAUUCGAACGGUUUACCAGCUGAAAAUUGGACUCGUCCGGGUAAGACAUUUUCGUUACUUGACAAUCUAAUAGUACUUUAUCUUCUCUCAACUUACAUGUACAUUCUAUUGCAAGAAAAGCUUAUUCCAUUCCCAUGAAAAUAAAAAGGAAUUUCUUCAUUAUGCUGGAGAAACGUUUUUAAAACUUUUAAAAUUUGUCCAUGAAUACGCAAAAAUAUGUAAUUAAUGCACGCAGUUGGAUCUAAUUCAUUUCAAUUCAAAAUUUUCAAUGUAAAACAUUCUGGAAGAUUUUUGUGCUUUCUUAUUGAUUUGUAUACAUCACCGGUAUUAAGUGUGGAGACACAUGUAUAUCAUAAUUGAAUGAAACAUUUCAACAGUUCUAUCGUAGCUCUAUCCUCAUGUGACGUCAUAUAUUUCUUGAUAAAUUUGUUUAAUGUCCAAUAAAAUGUAAAAAUAAGUCUAUUUUCUCUCUUUAUUUGGUAAUCUAUACUUCUCUUAACUUUUAAACAUGUCAGUUUAAUGCUAUAGUUUUAAAAUAUGUAAUUAUUUUAUUGGUACUUUUAACAUGUAUGUAUUUAUGUUGUGCCCUUACCUGAAUGAACUAACAUUUAAUGAAUAUUGGAUGGCAGUAGAGGAGGGCACCUGUGACGCACAUAUAAUACACGGAUACCUGCGACGUUUGCUGCAACUUGAAUACAUGUAAGUAUGAUAAAGCUUCAAGUCAGUGAACUGCAUUCAAAGGGCGGUUCCUGCACUUUUUACACAACAAUGACAUUUCACGAAGCAUUUGUUGAGGAAGUCUAAUAACUUCACAUGUAUCGCAUAAAAAACGAAAUCAAAAGGUGCUUGUUGAUUUAAUAAACGCUACUUUUAUUAAAUAAUUUGUUUUAAGAUGAAUUUGAUUUAUUCUCAUAAAACUUACCUUUGAACUUUGCAUUUUACGGAAAUACCCGAACGUAUGCGAGACUUCAACAAUGUGACGUCACACAAGGCCCGUCCACGAAGCAAGGCUGUAAAGGUAACACGUAUGUAAAAAAAAAAAAAAAAAAAAAAAAGAAGAAGUAGAGAAAAUCAGCAAAUGAAUAGCGAUAAUCUCUACAUACGUUCACUGAAAAUUUUAUGAUUCAUAUGGAAGCCGCCAUUUUGUUUUGUUCAUUAGUUGCUUCUACAGUUAUUCGUGUUUUAAUUUUGAACGCCAAAAAUACAAGAAUGACGUGCAAUUUGUAACUUAAAAACUCAGUUUGUUAAAAAUAGAUGGUAUAAUUAUUAUUGUUGCAGUUUUUAGCCAAUCAUCAAAUAUAAAAACAGUAAUACAACUAAAUAUAUAAACGAGUUCAUGAAUUUCUUUAUAUAAAAAUGUACUAUAUAUUUACGUUUACUUUUUUAGCUCUUUGAAUUCGUUGGUUAAUUUUGUUGAGUUUUAACUGUCUUUUUUUAAAAAUUGCAAACGGGAUGUAUUGUUGUCGUUUAUAAUUGUUUGAUUUGGAAGGGGAAAAGGUCCAGGCUAAACGUGACGUCACAAUGCACGGUUUACAUCAACGGAUGUUAUAUUUCCCGCGUUAAAUGAAUAGGCGGAUCCACAUAACAUCCCCCUUUAAUAUUGGGAUGUUACUGGGGGUUUAGCGCAAGGGGAUUUUCAUAGAUAAUAUAUAUUUUUAGAUGAAUCAUAAUUUAUCGUACUUAACGGAAUUCAAAAUUACAUGUACAUAUUAGCAAAAAUUUGAUAACGUAUUUCAUGAAGUACUAUCAUCAUAACAUGCAUAUCGGAAUAUUGGAAAUAAGGUACCUUCCAAACUAUUUAUUUGUUUUAUAUCCGGAGUUGUCCAUGAAGUAUACUUCAGUGACGGCGACAUUUUUGUAGAAGCAUUACGGGCAAUCUUCAUCAUUUUUCAGCUGAUGAAGAGCAAACCAUGUGACUUAAAUGUGUAGUAAUUGGAGCGAGCUCGUCGCGUGCUUCGCAACGCGAGCUUCGCUCGCUAUUAGUUAUUGAAAGUCAUCAUCUCACCCUCUGAGGGGGGGGGGGGGGGGCUGCCCCUCAGUUGAAGAUCAAGAGGAUACUCUCAGAGCUUUGUUUGCUAUCAAUUGAUAUCAAUUAACACUACUAAUGGACAGAACAGAGAAGUUAGCAAAGUUGUCUGAAACUAGAAAGAAAGAACUACAACAAAAGGAGAAUGCCAGAAUGACACGUGGAACGGUUCGUUCAUCAUACUCGCCAAGGAAAGAAAGAGUUCUUAAAAUCUACAUAGUUGAAUCAUCGACAGUUAGUGAUGCCAAGUGACCACCUGAUUUAGACUGAAGAAAAGUGAUUGGUUAAUUCUUGUGAUCUGAACAGUUGAAUUUUUUCUUAAGCCUGUCAUAUCCACAGAGUUCUAAAUGUGCUUAUCAUCAGUCUGUGUGACCUUUGAUUCCAUAGGUGAAUUUUGUCCUGUGAUUUGCUUUUGAGAAAGAAAAAAAAGAUGUCAGAUUCUGUAGUCCAGAUUUAGCUUUGUUGUUAGCAUAUGACUGAAAUGUCCAUUAUUUGUGUUUAAAAUUGAAAGAAAAAUUACGUUUUGUUUCAUAAAUGUUUUAAUGCAUUUUUUGUUACUUCAUAUUAUGUCAUAGUUUCAUGCAGUGAUAUAUGUACAUAGAUUCUAAUGUAAGAUUAUAAGGAGAGAUUUGUCUUGCAAACUGUUGUUGGUUUACGUUUCAGUGUUCAGUUCUCAUGACAGAUAUGAAUAUCGUGCAGAAGGUUCAGCAUGCUCCAUUACCAUUGAAUAACUGAUUGCUUGUUUUAGCUGCUAGAGAAGAUUUCCAUCUUUAUCUAAACCAUAUUGAAUUCAGUCUUUGCAUGCACCAUAAUAUUUAAAUAUGUAAUUUAGUCUGAGAAAAAUGUAAGGAUUAUGUCUGUUAAAAAAGUUUUCUUCCAGACUACCGACUGUAAAAUGUAAUCGGCUGAAAUUCAAUAUAUUCAGUAUUUUAUCUAUUGUUCAAGGUUUGGUCAUAUAGUAGCUAUGUAUUAAAUCUAUGAACGCUAAAAAUGACUUUUUCAUGAACAAUAUUCUUCAAAGCUCUUUGAAAAAUGAAAACAUUAUUAGGUCUCCAUUACAAAAUAAGAUAUUACAGACUACAUAACUGAACAUUUCUUGCUUCCUCUUUUUAAGAUAAAGUCAGUACUACUAAGAUAAAAUUAGAGACUGGAUUUUUUAGUCAAUUACCAUGGUUAACUGGUCAAGGUAUGGUUUAGCGCUUAUAAAACAACUGGCUGUGUGUUUCUGAAAAUUUCUUAAUACCAGCAUCGUUCAGUAGCAAGACGAACUGAUACUUCUGGGGUUUUUUAAAGAUAAGAAUAAGAACUUUAGUCUUUCCUCUACAUUAAAACUUUCUACAUUUACCACUUUACAUCAAUAAUUCUAAAGGGAAUUACAUGAGUUGCAAUCCCCAUUUUAAGAAAAUCUCUUUUAAAAAGGAUAUUUUUGUGUCAUAUUGGAAUAUGUACCAUCAAAGAUGCAAACCUCCUACCCCUCUUUCUGAAAAUGAACCGUAUCGGUUAUCCGCAGGAACAAAUCGAGGAUAUUGCAAGAGAAGGGAAGUACAGAAUCUGCCUCAAGAUUCCUUUCUAGUUGUCCCGAUCGCACGGAAUAAAUAUUUACAUGUAUUGAAUUUGAGGGAGUUGGGGCUUUAGCGAACUUUAUCACCUGCUGUAGGUGUAUUGAAAGGAAGUAUCAAUAACUUGGGGAAAACAAUUACUAGGUUGUAGGAAGGAAGUAAAGGUGGUUUAGCCAAAUCUCUUCACCAAACUGUUCCCCUCCCACUUUUUUAACGGCAUCAUGAUUAAUUGUACUAUAUUACGUAAGUUUACAUUCAUAAAGGUAUUUUAGUUUGUUUUAUGUCCCUAUGAGAAUUUUUCACUCGUGUUAAGACGUCACCAGCUGUAGGUGAAGUACCACAAAUUUAGACCUAGCAUGGAGGGUUUUUUAACGUGCCAAAGCCUGCCUCGACUCGACACGGGAACUCCGUUUUAAGGUAGUAUCUGAAUGACCCGCGAUUCUUCUAAAUGCCGAAAAUGUAAUCACUGCCAAUGUUCAUAUCUUAGGGUAUUGAUCGAUUUGACAGCCCUAAUAUUUACUUGACUAAAGAGAUAAAAGAAAAAAUCCUAGAUAUAUGCAUUUAUUACUCAAAUUUGAAAUAAAUACAUUCGUUUGAUGUCAUGUGAUUAUUCCAUAGUUUUUGUUUCCCCUACGUUCUAUGGAAUUUUAUGGUAGGGUCCUGCUCAGAGUCUUGAAAACUGAUGUUAAAAAUCAUAGAUACUGAAAGAGUUAAGUAGCCCUAAGCGUGUGAAUUCUGGAAUUUACCUGAAAUAAUGUUUAUUUACAUUUAAUAUAAUUUGCAUUUUAUUUUAGAAAUAGGGACUCGUCAAACUAACUUUCAGUGCGUAAAUCUCAGAUCAUUUUAUUCACCCCUCGUUCGGAGAUUUGAUGUGCACAUGUACAUGUGUCUUUUUUUUUUUUUUUUUUUACAUUAUAUAUAAUAAGUAUAAUCAUCAUAUGUUUAAUGUAUUAUGUUAAGGAGGUACUCUACAUCGUCAUAAUGGCUGACUUCCUUUUAAAUCAUGGAUGAAAAUAUAAAUAUCAGCAAUAUUUGUCCAUUCCUUUAAAAAUUCAUUGCUUAGCGAGUAGGUUAGCACAUCGACUGAUGAACUGUAAAAUCGCGUGUUCGAACCACGUAGGGGUUUUAAAUUUUUUCUCAGAUUGCUUUCUACUAAAAUUACAUUUUUUUUUUACUAAAUAAUGUAAAUUUGAAAGUUUUCAUUUUCAAAAUGUACAUAUCCUUCACUUUUCAUCCAUAUCAAAUUUCUCUGGUGUAGCAUACUUCCGUAACGUUCAUUCACAAUACCAACACAAGCUGCAACAAGAAUUUACUAUUUCCAAGUUGGGCAUCUCUUUAUGUUGAAUGAGUAUAAAAUCAACGUUGAUGUGCCUGCACAGUGUGUCAAUUUGUACCUUUCUGAAUGAAUCCCCCCAAAAUGAGAGAGAGAGAAGCAAAAUACGAUUUCUCGUUUUCAUUUAUUUUUCUGCUUUAUGCAUUUGUAUACAAUCCCAAUCUAAUUAAAAUUAGAUCCUUUGAUCCGCCCAUCUACUAUCGCUACACAAGGUGUAGCGAUAUAUGAGCAGAUCAAAGGAUCUAAUCUUAAUUAAAUUGUAUACAAUCCAUUAAUGUAAUUAGCAAUUUCAUAACCAAAAAUAUCUAUAUAUGAUUUCUAGUAACUUUUUUUAAAGCACUCACUUUUUCUAUAUAUAUUGUUUUACCAUAUACCCUGUAUGCGUUUAAUCCACAAUUCAGCCAUUUCUAAACAAGCAUGUAUUUUUUUCCCUUCGUAAAUAGAGUAAACCAUUUCAGGAUGUAAAUGAAGACAUUUCUCUCGACAUUGUAGUUUAAAUGAAAAUUCUAAAUUGUCUGAUUUUGUAUGUGGUUGCAAUAGUUAGAACAACUAUUCGUUAAUUUUUUUUCCAGAAUUGGUACUCGCAUAAAUCUUGACUUAUGUUCGAUUAUCUUGAUAUUGAUAUCAACAUCAAGAUUAUCGAAUAUACGUCAAGAUUUACGCAUAUAAACACCAUGGUUAUCGAAUAUAAAUCAAGAUUUUAGCAUAUAAAUCAAACUUUGUAUACUAUUACAACAUUUUACACGCCAUAGCUGUCACAGUGAGAAUGGUUUUUUUCCCAUCAUGCCAACGCCUUCAAAACUUCAGUUUUGAAAGACACCCCCCCCCC